GAACUCCUACGGGGGGCAGCAGUCGAGAAUCAUUCACAAUGGGGGAAACCCUGAUGGUGCGACGCCGCGUGGGGGAAUGAAGGUCUUCGGAUUGUAAACCCCUGUCAUGUGGGAGCAAAUUAAAAAGAUAGUACCACAAGAGGAAGAGACGGCUAACUCUGUGCCAGCAGCAGCGGUAAUACAGAGGUCUCAAGCGUUGUUAGGAAUCACUGGGCGUAAAGAGUGCGUAGGCUGUUUCGUAAGUAGUGUGUGAAAGGCGCGGGCUCAACCCGCGGACGGC
rnacentral:rRNA from 1 species